AUUGAACGCUGGCGGCAGGCCUAACACAUGCAAGUCGGACGGUAGCACAGAGAGCUUGCUCUCGGGUGACGAGUGGCGGACGGGUGAGUAAUGUCUGGGGAUCUGCCCGAUAGAGGGGGAUAACCACUGGAAACGGUGGCUAAUACCGCAUAACGUCGCAAGACCAAAGAGGGGGACCUUCGGGCCUCUCACUAUCGGAUGAACCCAGAUGGGAUUAGCUAGUAGGCGGGGUAAUGGCCCACCUAGGCGACGAUCCCUAGCUGGUCUGAGAGGAUGACCAGCCACACUGGAACUGAGACACGGUCCAGACUCCUACGGGAGGCAGCAGUGGGGAAUGCUGCACAAUGGGCGCAAGCCUGAUGCAGCCAUGCCGCGUGUAUGAAGAAGGCCUUCGGGUUGUAAAGUACUUUCAGCGGGGAGGAAGGCGAUGCGGUUAAUAACCGUGUCGAUUGACGUUACCCGCAGAAGAAGCACCGGCUAACUCCGUGCCAGCCGCCGCAGUAA
rnacentral:rRNA from 1 species